CACAUCUGUCAUCGGUUAGCCAAAUUGAGUCUCUCGAUAAAAUUAUAAUCGGUGCUAAACUGCCCGGUGCCCCAGGUGUUGACCAUUCUGGAAGAACAUGGAAGAAAUUUUGGAAUUGAAACCGGAAAUCAAACUUGAGAGUGAGAUCGAUGUUAGUGAUCUCGAAGACUGCGCAGAUUUCAACACAGACAUCUCAAAAAAUUCAGAUGGAGCGUUUUUAAAUGUAAAAUCUGAAAUCAAUUUGGAAACGGAGUCAAUAAGGAGCGACACAGAACGUAGCACAGGUAUUUCUGACGAAACUGAAGCUGGAAAUUUGAGUAUUCAAUCAAAAAAGCUGGUCGUAGCUGUGGAAAGAAUGAACUUGAAAAUGGCGGCCACUGAUUCUUCAUUAGAAAUAAGGGUUGGAAACAGUCAUCUAACGACGACGGAGUUUCAGGAAAAAAACCAAGUAAACGAUGACAGGUCGUUUGUUUCCAAAGAAAAGUCUCAAAUUUUUACUCUUGCUCACACCCCCAACACUUUCAAAACUCAUGCCCAGGACACCCAUAGGGAGGAACGACCUUUUAUUCGUUUUCAGGCCUCCAAAAUAUAUAAAACGAGCUCGAAGGGAGCUCUGAAGAAGCAUGUCACAUACAGCCACCCACAAAUUCGAACUUUUGGUUGCAGACAAUGCUCAAGCAAAUUCAGGACAAAGGGGGGCUUAAAGAGACAUGUUAAGGAAACCCAUAGUAAUGAUAGACCUUUUGUUUGUGGUCAAUGCGCGAGCAAAUUUAAGGCCAAAGAUACUUUAAAACGGCAUGUUAUGCAAACGCAUUCUGAUGAUCGACAUUUU
rnacentral:lncRNA from 1 species